GUCAGGAUGGCCGAGUGGUCUAAGCGCGCUGCGUUCAGGUCGCAGUCCACUUCUUGUGGGCGUGGGUUCGAAUCCCACUUCUGACA